rnacentral:rRNA from 1 species
GACGAACGCUGGCGGCGUGCUUAACACAUGCAAGUCGAACGGAAAGGCCCUGCUUUUGUGGGGUGCUCGAGUGGCGAACGGGUGAGUAACACGUGAGUAACCUGCCCUUGACUUUGGGAUAACUUCAGGAAACUGGGGCUAAUACCGGAUAGGAGCUCCUGCUGCAUGGUGGGGGUUGGAAAGUUUCGGCGGUUGGGGAUGGACUCGCGGCUUAUCAGCUUGUUGGUGGGGUAGUGGCUUACCAAGGCUUUGACGGGUAGCCGGCCUGAGAGGGUGACCGGCCACAGUGGGACUGAGAUACGGCCCAGACUCCAACGGGAGGCAGCAGUGGGGAAUAUUGCACAAUGGGCGGAAGCCUGAUGCAGCAACGCCGCGUGCGGGAUGACGGCCUUCGGGUUGUAAACCGCUUUCGCCUGUGACGAAGCGUGAGUGACGGUAAUGGGUAAAGAAGCCCCGGCUAACUACGUG